CCCGACGUAGCUCAAUUGGCAGAGCAGUUGACUCUUAAUCAAUUGGUUGUGGGUUCGAGUCCCACCGUCGGGUCCA
rnacentral:tRNA from 1 species